CCGCAGCGUCGAGCCGCGCACAGGACGACAUGUUGCUUCCGGUCACAGCCUUCAGAAUAAAGGUCUGACCGAGUCUUACAGAAAGCCUGAGUGGUGCAGGAAGUAAUCAGAUACUCAGUCAUACUUGAGUAAAAGCAUCCAGGAUCAAUCAGUAUUCAGACACUGAGAGGCAGCAUGAGACCAGGAGAGUCUGAUCUGGUCUGCAGGAAACACCUGAACCAGUCACGGCUCCCCUGUAUCCGGUGUGGUGUGUGUGUGUGUUGACGCAGCUGUCAGAGUGAAGCAGCAGCUGGAUGAAUUAUCGUGUCUGUUGAUGUUUCAACACACAAAACGUCACAACAACACGUUUCCUCUCAGUGUGAGUGUUCAACACAACAGCCACAUUAUAUCAUAACACAUCAACACACAAAAUAAUUAACACGAUUCUCAUUUACACUGGAGACUGUGUGUGUGUGUGUGUGUGUGUGUGUGUGUGUGUGUGUGUGUGUGUGUGUGUGUGCGCGCGCGUGUUGUCCUGUCAUCAAACUGUGACACCAGCAGUGAAAAUCACAUGUGAGUAAAAUUAAAGAUACUGUGUUAAAUGUUGUGUAGUUACAUGUUACUGAAGGAUGAAAGUGACUCUGACAGAAGAAUUAAUGUUGAUCAGUUGAAACUUCACGUUUCUGCAGGUUCGGUUUCAUGCUGUGACGCUGUUCUCGUGUUCUGGUCCAGUUUAGGAACAGAAACAUGAGUUUGGGUCAGAAGAGAUCCGGUUCUGGGUGGAAACACCUGCUUCUGUCUCCAGACGGACGUUUUUACGUGUCAACAUUAUUAUUAAUGAAAGUCUGGAGAGGACGAUCCGGCUGAAGCUGCAUCCAACGAGUCCUGUGGUGGAAUCUACGUAUCAAACAUCCUGUGAUCACGUGCUCAUCGGAGGUAAACGGACUUUGCUUGAGUCAUUUUCUUCUCAAGCUACUUUCUAGAUAUUUACUCCAUUAGUUAGUUACAUCACAGGCUAAGAUAUUCAAAAACAAAACAAAGUUUUGAAUGUUUUGUUCUUGAUACAUUUUAAAUGUUUUUGAAAAAAAUCGUUUUAUGUUUAAUGCACUUUGCAAAUGUCAACUUUAAUAUAUGAUACACAAGAACACUUACUACCACUUAUUGUUAUUAUUAUUAUUAUCAUCAUUAUUAUCCAAAGUCUCUGGGGGGACGAUCCGGCUGAAGGUCAACAUGAUACAUUAAUAAAUAUCUGUAAUAUUAAUUUAUAAUAUAAUAAUAAAAUCCUGAGUCAGCUAUAACAGUUCAACAGUCACAGUGACAUUAAGUACUUUUACUUUGAAUACUUCAAGUACAUUUUCCUGAUUGUACUUUUCAAACAUAUUUUCAAUGCAGUACUUUUACUUGUAACAGUAUUUUGACAGUGUACUCGUAUAAAUAUGUGACCACAGUCAAAGUGCAGGAAGACAAACAGAAAUCAGCUGUUCCAGGUUUCAUUUGUUUAUUUUCUGUAAAAUAAUGUGAAGGUACAGUCUCUUUAAAAAUCUCUCCUGUUAGCUUCAGAAGCACCUCUGGUUUGAAAACAUGUUCAUAUGUACAACAACACACUCAACGUUCCCUGGUUAUUGAUUUAUUUAUGACAAGGUUCAAAUAAAAAUCUGAAUACAACAACAACAAAAAAGUCAAUUUAUUAUUCAAAUACAAAGCGAAACGACGCAGAGCGCUCAGUUCAUCCUCCACACGACCACUGACAAUAACGUUAAUAAUACGAGAAAUUAAUAUCAUACAUCAAUAGAAAAUAUGAAAAAAUAUGAAAUAUGGCCUUUAACUGAUCCCUAGUCUGCACACACACACACACACACACACACACACA